GACGAACGCUGGCGGCGUGCUUAACACAUGCCAGUCGAACGAUGACCUCCCGCUUGCGGGCGCGAUUAGUGGCGAACGGGUGAGUAAUACGUGAGUAACCUGCCCUUGACUCUGGGAUAAGCCUUGGAAACGGGGUCUAAUACUGGAUACUACUUCCUGCCGCAUGGUGGGGGGUGGAAAGGGUUUUACUGGUUUUGGAUGGGCUCACGGCCUAUCAGCUUGUUGGUGGGGUAAUGGCUCACCAAGGCGACGACGGGUAGCCGGCCUGAGAGGGUGACCGGCCACACUGACACUGAGACACGGCCCAGACUCCGACGGGAGGCAGAAGUGGGGAAGAUUGAACAAUGGGCGGGAGCCUGAUGCAGCGACGCCGCGGGAGGGAUGACGGUCUUGGGGUUGUAAACCUCUAGCAGCAGGAAAGAAGCCAAUAGUGACGGUACCUGCAGAAGAAGCGCCGGCUAACUACGUG
rnacentral:rRNA from 1 species